rnacentral:rRNA from 1 species
UACAGAGGUCCCAAGCGUUGUUCGGAUUCAUUGGGCGUAAAGGGUGCGUAGGCGGCAGUGUAAGUUGGACGUGAAAUCCUGGGGCUCAACCUCAGAAUUGCGUUCAAUACUGCAUUGCUAGGGCGCUGUAGAGGAGAUUGGAAUUUACGGUGUAGCAGUGAAAUGCGUAGAUAUCGGGAGGAAUACCGAUGGCGAAGGCAGGUCUCUGGGCUGACACUGACGCUCAUGCACGAAAGCGUGGGGAGCAAACAGG